CCGUUCUCCCCACCUCUCCCGGCCGGGGCAGCUCCGGCUCCGCCGUCCCUCUCAUUGGGCCGGUGUGCCAGGCCGCCGCCAGCGCCUGGAGAAGCGUGGCACCGAAGGACGUGGCGGGGGUGGACUCAGUGGUCCUGGCUGCCUUUCCCAGCCUUGGUGAUGCUAUGAUUCCACCAGUAGUUAUGCCGCCCUUUGUUUAACCCUUUAAUGUGUUGUUAUAGUUGCACGGCUUCAGCAGCUAAAGGGGGAAAGUGAUUUAAUACCUUGUGUUCUGCCCACAGUGCUCCAGGAGCCAGGGCUGAGAACAGCUGUGCCACCACCCGCAAAGCAAAGGCCAGCCACUCCCCAAAGCUCUGCAGCAUCCACUGAAGCAGUGCCCCUGUGAUUUACCUGCGGCACAGAGAUGCAAAUCAAGCAGGAAGACUGAUUACAUCUAACCCUAGUAAAGGCACUAACGCUAUUUCCAAAGCAGCCAAGGGAAAUUUGUACUGCUUAGGAG
ensembl:lncRNA